CCCUGCAGUUGGCUGUGUGGUAGAGUUGCUUGGGGGUGGCUGGUGUUUGUCUUUUCGUGUUCCUUUUCUGAUGGCUAAGAAGGCAGUCUAAGAGCAGAGACGUAUCCAGGCCGUGGGCAGAGGGUGUGCCAUAGCGAUAGUCCUGGCCUGGGUAAAGCAUGAACCAGAUCCUUCUUGGCAAGCGAGAUUGAGCCCACAGAGGCAUCCUCAUUCCUACCUCCAGAUGGAUGUAAGUUUUUUGGAGGUGGCUGUGAAGGAGCACGUCUGUGCCAGUGCAGUGCUUGCUGAGCAAGUGUGGUGGUUUAAUUUUGCGUCCUGUGCAGAAGAGGCUGUUCAAGGCAGCAGUGCGAUGUGGACUCCCUGCCUCCAGUUGCAGUGAUUCCAGGGGCAGCUCUCCAAAGAAGGCUGCCCUUUGUAGUAGAGUGGUACAGGGCAACGUACCUUGUGCUGCUGCUCUGCUCUGCUGGGCUUCCUCACUCUCCUGCUUGUGCCGACACAAGGGCUCUGAGGAACUGCUGCUCGAAAUGGCAUCUGUUGCACUGAAGACUAUGUGAUCUCUCAAUUCCCUUACAGCCCACAAAGCUGUGUGGUGUCUGAGCCUUGAAGAGAACGGCUUUUCUUCUGAGUGGAGGCCUUUUCAGGGAUCAUCUCUCUUUUUUUCGGAGAGUUUCUUCAGUGUAAAUGACUCCGUGAGAACUUGGUGACUGAUUCUGAAGUACCGAGUGAGGAGAGGGAACAGCACGCGCCUCUGCUGCAAUGCUCAGGGGAUGCACCCACACACACUGCUGGUUGUUCUGGCCUUCCUUUGCUUGAACUUGGACCUCUAGAAAGAACAAAAGCCUUGCCAAGUGAGUGGAAAAGGAUCUUAGGAACGCAUGUAACAUUUUAUUUUUAUUUUUUCCUCGAAGAGAAAAGCCGGGGAAAAAAUUGACAUAAGCUUUUGAGAAAGCACCGUUAGCGCUCAGUGUGCUUCUCCCAGCUGAUCUUCCUUUCAUGAGAGGGAUGGGAUAAACAGUACAGCAAGUUGAGCUGCUACAUGGUCUGAGGGAGGUAA